rnacentral:rRNA from 1 species
ACUACGGUGCUGAAGCAACAAAUGCCCUGCUUCCAGGAAAAGCCUCUAAGCAUCAGGUAACAUCAAAUCGUACCCCAAACCGACACAGGUGGUCAGGUAGAGAAUACCAAGGCGCUUGAGAGAACUCGGGUGAAGGAACUAGGCAAAAUGGUGCCGUAACUUCGGGAGAAGGCACGCUGACACGUAGGUGAAGUGAUUUACUCAUGGAGCUGAAGUCAGUCGAAGAUACCAGCUGGCUGCAACUGUUUAUUAAAAACACAGCACUGUGCAAACACGAAAGUGGACGUAUACGGUGUGACGCCUGCCCGGUGCCGGAAGGUUAAUUGAUGGGGUCAGCGCAAGCGAAGCUCCUGAUCGAAGCCCCGGUAAACGGCGGCCGUAACUAUAACGGUCCUAAGGUAGCGAAAUUCCUUGUCGGGUAAGUUCCGACCUGCACGAAUGGCGUAAUGAUGGCCAGGCUGUCUCCACCCGAGACUCAGUGAAAUUGAACUCGCUGUGAAGAUGCAGUGUACCCGCGGCAAGACGGAAAGACCCCGUGAACCUUUACUAUAGCUUGACACUGAACAUUGAGCCUUGAUGUGUAGGAUAGGUGGGAGGCUUUGAAGUGUGGACGCCAGUCUGCAUGGAGCCGACCUUGAAAUACCACCCUUUAAUGUUUGAUGUUCUAACGUGGACCCGUAAUCCGGGUUGCGGACAGUGUCUGGUGGGUAGUUUGACUGGGGCGGUCUCCUCCUAAAGAGUAACGGAGGAGCACGAAGGUUGGCUAAUCCUGGUCGGACAUCAGGAGGUUAGUGCAAUGGCAUAAGCCAGCUUGACUGCGAGCGUGACGGCGCGAGCAGGUGCGAAAGCAGGUCAUAGUGAUCCGGUGGUUCUGAAUGGAAGGGCCAUCGCUCAACGGAUAAAAGGUACUCCGGGGAUAACAGGCUGAUACCGCCCAAGAGUUCAUAUCGACGGCGGUGUUUGGCACCUCGAUGUCGGCUCAUCACAUCCUGGGGCUGAAGUAGGUCCCAAGGGUAUGGCUGUUCGCCAUUUAAAGUGGUACGCGAGCUGGGUUUAGAACGUCGUGAGACAGUUCGGUCCCUAUCUGCCGUGGGCGCUGGAGAACUGAGGGGGGCUGCUCCUAGUACGAGAGGACCGGAGUGGACGCAUCACUGGUGUUCGGGUUGUCAUGCCAAUGGCACUGCCCGGUAGCUAAAUGCGGAAGAGAUAAGUGCUGAAAGCAUCUAAGCACGAAACUUGCCCCGAGAUGAGUUCUCCCUGAGACUUUAGGUCUCCUGAAGGAACGUUGAAGACGACGACGUUGAUAGGCCGGGUGUGUAAGCGCAGCGAUGCGUUGAGCUAACCGGUACUAAUGAACCGUGAGGCUUAACCUU